GACGAACGCUGGCGGCGUGCCUAAUACAUGCAAGUCGAGCGAACUUGCGGGAGCUUGCUCCCAAAAGUUAGCGGCGGACGGGUGAGUAACACGUGGGCAACCUGCCUAUAAGACUGGGAUAACUUCGGGAAACCGGAGCUAAUACCGGAUAAUUCGUAUCUACUCAUGUAGGUAUGCUGAAAGACGGUUUCGGCUGUAACUUAUAGAUGGGCCCGCGGCGCAUUAGCUAGUUGGUGAGGUAACGGCUCACCAAGGCGACGAUGCGUAGCCGACCUGAGAGGGUGAUCGGCCACACUGGGACUGAGACACGGCCCAGACUCCUACGGGAGGCAGCAGUAGGGAAUCUUCCGCAAUGGACGAAAGUCUGACGGAGCAACGCCGCGUGAGUGAUGAAGGUUUUCGGAUCGUAAAACUCUGUUGUUAGGGAAGAACUCUUCUGGGCUAAUACCCCGGGAGGAUGACGGUACCUGAAGAAUAAGCACCGGCUAACUACGUGCCAGCAGCCGCAGUAACAC
rnacentral:rRNA from 1 species